rnacentral:lncRNA from 1 species
AGAGAGGCUGUGAGGGUGGCUUUGUGAGGAUGGCUUUGUGUGGCUGCACAUUGCCCUUGGCCAAGCCCCGCUGCCAGGAGAGGCAGCUCGGCUGCCAAACCUCCUGAACCCAAGUUACCUGAGCAAGCAGCCCUAUCCCCUCGCCUGCUUCUCACUGCCUCGCCUGCCUUGGGCCUGCCCGACCCAGGGGGUCACAUGCCUUGUUCCCCAUCAGUGGAGACCAGGGACAAGAAGACAGUUCUGUGGGAAGAGCCAGGAGGACCAUUUGGGAAAAUACAGGUUCCAGGUGUGUCUCCAGACCUUGAGAGUUGGUGUCUCCUGGGAAGAGGCCCUGAUGAGAUCUGGGGAGAUUCGGAUCUGAUGAGAUUCAGGAAGCCCUGGCCUCUCCGUACUUGAGGAGACGGGACACACAGGACAAGCUGCAGGCUGGUGAGCAGAUUUUAUCUAAUCAGGAUUCCAGAGCACAAGACAAAUGGCCUCACGUCCGGCUGGGAGGUGUAAUUCAUUCUCCUGGGUUCACCUUCUAUUUUGAAGACCCGCUUCUUCCUCAGGUACCUGAUCUUGAAAACGACCUCCCCUUUCAGUUCUGGAGGCCAGAAGCCCAAAAUCAGUCUCGCUGGGCUAACGUGAAGGUGUCAGUCGGGCUGGUUCCUUCUGGAGGCUCCAGAAAAGAAUCUGUUUUCUUGCCUUUUCUGGCUCAGUUUCUCGGCUUGUGGCUCCUUCCUCCAUCUUCAAAGAGCACCACUCCAAUCUGCUCCUCCAUCAGGUCACCUUCUGCCUGACUCCUACAUCCCUUUCAGAAGGACCCUUGUGAUUCCAUGAGGUCCACCCAGAUCACGCAGGAUAAUGUCCCCGUCUCAAGAGGCUUAAUCUAAUCACAGUGAAAACCAUUUCCUCCUCGUCGUGGCGCAGGUCCAGAGGCUGCGCCCAUCUCUCCCACGUCAACAGUCCUGUGUCCUUGGCGAAGGACUGUUCUCUCAUUCAGUGCCUUUCCUCUCUUCCUGGGCCAAAUCCCUGCUUUGCGUCUCCCUGCAGCUCAUAAAAAGCUGAAUUACCUGAGGCAGGGAAAGCCCCACCCACUGUCAUUCUCAGGGAGGAGUGGAGUCUGCAGAGGCCGCAAUGCACAGCUUCCCUAUCCCCCUCCACCCGUGUUUUCCCAGAGCAGCUCUGUUCCAGGCCCGGGGGUGUCCCUGGGCCGAGAUGGAAUCCAGCCCUGACCACCUCCCAAAGCCAACAGCCCUGAGUGAGCGUGCAGAGAAGCAAGAGCUGUUCCUGAUGCAGAGCAAAGACAUCUCCCAGUCAAGGGGGAUGAACUGAUUUGGGACAAAAGGCAGUUGUUGGCUGAGGAAGGCAGGAUCUGGGGGAGCCCUGUGCUGAGUGGAGGUGGGUGGGUGUAUUUCCUUGGCUCACAGAGGCCUCUUGUCUGGUGGGAUCAGCUCCUCCAGCCAGUUGCCACCUGGUCCAGCUUUGGGAGAUGUGGAGAAUGACUUUCGCAGUGAUUUCCACUGGGCCAUGGCAUUGAAACAGCUGCAGGAGGGGACACAGCUGGUGCCACCCCUACUCCGUCCAUUAGAGCUGCUGUGAAGGAAUGCCACCCUCCCCAUGGGGAGUGAGGGGGCCCUACUUGCUGUGGUUGGUUCCAGGGACCAUGGGAAGAGGCAAACCCCUAUUUUCAAGGGCACAAGUUGGCUUUUAUUAAAAUAAAAUUUCAUCAUCACUUA